GAUGAAGAACGCAGCGAAAUGCGAUACGUAAUGUGAAUUGCAAAUUCAGUGAAUCAUCGAGUCUUUGAACGCGCAUUGCGCCCCCUGGUAUUCCGGGGGGCAUGCCUGUCCGAGCGUCAUUGCUGCCCUCAAGCACGGCUUGUGUGUUGGGCCCCGUCCUCCGAUCCCGGGGGACGGGCCCGAAAGGCAGCGGCGGCACCGCGUCCGGUCCUCGAGCGUAUGGGGCUUUGUCACCCGCUCUGUAGGCCCGGCCGGCGCUUGCCGAUCAACCCAAAUUUUUAUCCAGGUUGACCUCGGAUCAGGUAGGGAUACCCGCUGAACUUAAGCAUAUCAAUAAGCGGAGGA
rnacentral:misc_RNA from 1 species